UGUGGCAGAUUAGUGCAAUGGACUUAAGAUCCAUAUAUAAAUUAAACCUUUCAUUAAAA
rnacentral:tRNA from 2 species